rnacentral:rRNA from 1 species
AUUGAACGCUGGCGGCAGGCUUAACACAUGCAAGUCGAGCGGAGCGAGGGUGCUUGCACCUUAGCUUAGCGGCGGACGGGUGAGUAAUGCUUAGGAAUCUGCCUAUUAGUGGGGGACAACAUUCCGAAAGGAAUGCUAAUACCGCAUACGCCCUACGGGGGAAAGCAGGGGAUCUUCGGACCUUGCGCUAAUAGAUGAGCCUAAGUCGGAUUAGCUAGUUGGUGGGGUAAAGGCCUACCAAGGCGACGAUCUGUAGCGGGUCUGAGAGGAUGAUCCGCCACACUGGAACUGAGACACGGCCCAGACUCCUACGGGAGGCAGCAGUGGGGAAUAUCGGACAAUGGGCGGAAGCCUGAUCCAGCCAUGCCGCGUGUGUGAAGAAGGCCUUUUGGUUGUAAAGCACUUUAAGCGAGGAGGAGGCUACUUAGAUUAAUACUCUGGGAUAGUGGACGUUACUCGCAGAAUAAGCACCGGCCAACUCUGUGCCAGCCGCCGCGGUAAGAC